CAGAGACCUCCAUUUAGUGGAGGCUUUCAUGCAAAGAUUCUUACGAUAUCGUGAGCGCUUCCAAGUCUGUCCUCAGCGUGGGCGGCUCCCGGUUUGGACUCAAACCGCUCACCAAGGCGGCGAUAAUGCCUUGCUCUAGCGUAGGCGUACGCGGCCUUUAGCGGGCGGACUCAUCCAGUGCACAGCCGCUCGUGGAACCCCCAAGGCGAGGGGCCUUCUUUGUAUUCUUAUCAGCUUGUUUUUCACGUUCCGCCGUUCACAGGCCCAGCAGAUGACCAUGCAGGCCAUGGCCAUGGUGGGCGGCCCGGUGACCAGCCCGCCCACCACCCCCAUCACCAGCCCCCCCAUGAGCCCCCUGCUCCACCACCCGCCCAGCCCUUACGGCGUCACUAGCCCCUACUCCACCUACAGCUCCUUCCCCCCCAGCCCUUACGGCACCAUCCCCCCAAGCCCCUAUGCCUCUGCUGCUCCUGCUGCUGCUGCUGCUGCUGCUGUCUCUGCUGCUGCUGCUGUCUCUGCUGCUGGGGACGUUCCACCCAGCCCCUACCCUCCCAUCACCCACCAGGCCACUGCGUCCCCAGCCCAGGGCCGGGGCAACGGCCAGGCCCAGGCGUCACAGGCCUCUGGCCACAGGCCCGUGGGUCAGCCCAACGUCGCAGGCAAACCCGGAGCUCCGAAGAUGAAAGCCAACCCCAACCCGACUCCCAUGGUCAGUCGCGAUGAUGGAUUAGCAGCAUGUUUUCACUCACCUUUCAGGACACAUUGCAUUGGUUUGCAGCAGUAUGCGACUAGAGUUGUGUGUGUUUGCACCAAGCACUUCUUUGGAAAUAAGCCAAAAAGCUUUUUAUGUUUAUGCCGUCGCUUUGUUUCUCUGUGUGUGUGUGUGUGUGUGUGUGUGUGUGUGUGUGUGUGUGUGUGCGUGUGCGUGUGCGUGUGUGUUUGUGGUUACUUUAGCCGGAGUCCAAUAAAGACAGCAUUACCAGGAGGAGAGCUCCAGGGAUCCCCAUUAACAAGGACAAGCCAGCCAAGAAGUUUGCUCCGGUGGUGA
rnacentral:lncRNA from 1 species